rnacentral:piRNA from 1 species
UGGUGAGAGGUUGGCAUAGUUUCUAC